UGCUCUUCGAGGGGAAAUGAACACGGAGAGAUAAAACGCGUCCGAUACGAGGACUGAGGCUUCGGUUCGGUGCAAAACCCCGGUUUCAAGUUCAGAGCUGGUGGAGAGUGAUUGGCAGACAGGCCAAUCGUAAGCUGUCCUCACGAAUCCCUGCAAUCCUAUACAUUGACCUGCUGGAAAUGGGACAGCACUGCCUCCCUGGGGACAUGCUCUCAGCUCCCCCACCCCCACCGAGAUCUCUAGGAGCCAACCCAGGAACAGGAGCUGCUGUCUCCCUGAACACAAACUGUAUUGGUAUUUCUACUCUCCCAUGCCUGCCCUACCAACAGGUGGCAUUAACUGUGUUCUGCCCUGACUUCACAACACAUCAUUUCUCAUAAGAACGAGAACAAUUCCCACCUACAACACAGCAGGUCACUGUACCCUACACCAAGGGUUUUUAAACAUGAGAGUCCUCCACACACUGAAAACCCAACUUCAUGUGUGGGCUUAUUUUUGUUAGGAGAACAUUUCCAAGAGCUUUGUCCCCUAAUCUGUUUGCCUGGUACUUCAUUCUCCUCCUGUUUUUAGUUUUAGGGUCCUUGGGGACGUUAUCAGCACUUGAUCAGUUCAUGAACUUAAGUGCGAGUGACAUAAACAAAUUUCUGAAAACAGUCAAAUCAAAGAAAGCACAUCCUCCCCAGAUGCAAAGAUGUUUUGAUUUUUGGAACAAAUUUUGGUGCUUAGUCAUGAAAUAAUAGAUGUGAUGUGAACACUUUUUUGUAAGGGUUUAUGUUCCUUAACCCCCUUAUGACCCUUUUUUGCAGAUGGUUUUAAGAUUGUAGAAAGAAUUAUCUGCUGUCCAUCUGAAUUAUUAUUUUUUAAUUAAUAUGCUGGGAAAAUCAAUGAUGUGCUAUUUAAUAUAAAAUAAAAAAUGCAUUGAUUAUUUAAUUACAGAUAUUCAAUUACUCUUCCGUAUAUCACAGGGGUCUCUGUAAGAUGCAUGUAAGAAAGUGAACAACAAAACUUCCUAGAUUUAUAAUUGAAGAUCAGGAUAUUUUACAGUUUGUAUAAUCUUUACAUCAAGAGGAUUUUGAAAGUAAGUCAUUAAAGCAAAUUAUGCUUUCAAACUUA